AAGUUUAGGUUACACACUAAACCAAGAGCCUUCAAAGCCCUAAACAGAGACCACACCUCUAACUUCU
rnacentral:tRNA from 1 species